rnacentral:lncRNA from 1 species
AUUAAAUGACUAAAAGAUAACUAAAAAAAAAAAAGAAGAGUACAGGGUAUGAUAGUGUAAGACAGAAGAACAUAGGAUAAUAUAAGACAGAAUAGUACAUGACAGUAUAACACAAAACAGUACAAAUGUUUAAGGUAUUGAAUAAAUUGUUUGGUGCACAAAAAGGUUAUUUUGGUGUUUUAGACAACUUGUGUAGAUGACAAAAAAUUGUCUCGUGGUUCAGUGGGGAUAAGAAUAUCUCUUUUUGUUCGGUCUUUUGACCUUCAGUUUGUCCAGUCCCAAGAACAAUUUAAAAUCAAACACAGUACAAUUGAAUUUUUCAUGUCCAAUCCUAAUUUUGGUACGAUGUUUGGUGGACAAAAGAUUAUUUUGGUAUUUUAAACAACUUAUACAGAAGACAAAAAGUUGUCAUGUGGUUCACUGGGAACAAGAAUUUCAGGUUUUGUCCGGUCUCUUAGCUCCAUUUUGUCUAAUUCCAAAACGGUUUUGAAAUAAAAACAAUAUAGCUGAAAUUGUCAUGUUCGAUCCUUAAUUUUUAGCGGAUGAAACACGUAAUGAUAAUCACGGUGUCUUAUAUAUUUAUGGGCCAAAUUAGUUGUUUAGCCGUGCCAAAAAGACUUUAUCCCAUGAGAUUAUGAUCGUAAAUUUGUGGUUUACAAAUCUUGUGUAUUGCUAAUUGAUAGAGUCUCUUCUAUUUCAUUACCAUAUCCAUAAAGAUAUGAAGUAUUGACUUAUAAAUUUGGUUCAUCAAAGGCUAUAUCGUAAACACUUUUUAUACACACUUCAUAUUUUUUAGGAUAUGUAUCUAAUCUAAAUCUAAGUGUAUCCACGUAAUAUCGAUAUCCAAUACUGAUAAAUCACCAAUUUUAUGGUGUGUUUGAUUUUAAGGAAAGAACGAGAAAAUGAAGGAAAAUACGAAAAUCAAUAAAUAAAUUUAGACUAAACCGUAGUCCAAGUUCAUAUCGGAGGCAUUUGAGUAUAUAACUUAAUGACUCAAUUCCUUUUAGGUACUUAAAUUUAUUUUUAGAUUCAAGUUGUUCCUUGAUGUUAAAAAGUGUCAAUGUAGUCGGUCAAUCGUAAUGUGUUUUUAUUUUGGUCA